GGCUCGCGUGUGGGUGCCGCUGUAGACACCGCCUCCUCGCUGUGCUCCCACCUUGGGCUCGCAAUGGAGACUGAUUGCUGGCUGCUGGGCGGAGAGUUCGAGGAUUCCGUGUUUGAAGAGAGGCCGGAGCGGCGGACCGGACCGCCUGUUUCCUACCACGCCAAGCGCUGCGAGCCGCAGUGGUUUUAUGAAGAGGUGGGGAGCAAUGAUGAUGGUGAAGUUCUAACAAUCAAGAAAUUCAAAGGGGACCUGGCCUACAGACGGCAGGAGUAUCAGAAAGCACUACAGGAAUAUUCCAGUAUCUCUGAAAAAUUACCUCCUACGAAUUUUGCCAUGAAAAGGGAUGUGGAAGAAGGGCAGGCCCGGUGCCUUGUUCGUCUGGGAAGGCACGCAGAAGCACUGGCGCUGGCUGCAAACUUGGAAAAUAAAGCAACCAACACAGACCAUUUAACCACUGUGCUCUGCCUUGAGCUUGCUAUUUGUUCAAGUUUGCAUAACGUGGAGAAAACCAUUUUCUGCCUACAGAAACUGAUUUCUUUGCAUCCUUUUAAUCCUUGGAACUGGGGCCAAUUGGCAGAGGCUUACCUGAAUCUGGAGCCGGCUCUCUCAGCACCGUGUGCGUCAUCUUACAAACAGAACAGUUUCACCUCGAGUGACAGAAGUAUCAGAUCCUCCUUUCCACAUUCAGGAAGAGGCUGCCUUUUGUGUUUCCCUGAAACGUUGCCUGAGAGCUCUGUGUUUUCUAUGGAAGCAAGCAGUGGUAAUAACCAGGAGAAUGAGAAAGGCCCUGAUAAUAUUCAGAACUCUGUGGCAGAAAAGAGAGAAGCAGUAUUGCUAGAGACUCAGAUGAAAGCCUGUGCCUCUUUUAUACGAACCAGGCUUUUGCUUCAGCUCACCCAAUCUCAGCAAACAUCGUUUGCUUUGGAGAGGAACUUAAGGACUCAGCAGGAAAUUGAAGAUAAAAUGAAGGCGUUCAGCUUCAAAGAAGACACUUUGCUGUUCAUAGCCGAGACCCACUGCCUGAACUGCCUGAGUGGUCACUCUUCAUGAAGCUGCUCGUGUCCUCGUGCCCGCCCCACCUGGCUGUCCUGGCAGCGGCCUGUCUGUGCAGAGUGGCUUUGUCACCUAAAGCUUCAGCGUUGUGUCUGCUCAGUCCUUGAGCUAACGACCCCCUGGCCCCCAUCCCUUGGAACUGCCCUGUCAUCCACACAGGAGGAAGCUGAGAAAGUGAGUGACAGUUUCUCUGCGUCCAACAGCUUCUUGGACCAAGCCCAGACAGUGAAGCAUUUAAAGAUGCGUCUCUGCCACUCCUGUGACAGCCAGCAGAGCAAGCAGAAUGGAGGCGGGGAGCCCAGGUAGGUGAGGGCG